rnacentral:rRNA from 1 species
AUUGAACGCUGGCGGCGUGCUUAACACAUGCAAGUCGAGCGGUAACAGGUGUAGCAAUACAUGCUGACGAGCGGCGAACGGGUGAGUAAUGCUUCGGGAUCUUCCUCGUAGUGGGGAAUAACCUGGGGAAACUCAGGCUAAUACCGCAUACGAACUACGGUUGAAAGCAGGGGAUCGCAAGACCUUGCGCUAUGAGAUGAGCCGAAGUCGGAUUAGCUAGUUGGUGGGGUAACGGCCUACCAAGGCGACGAUCCGUAGCUGGUCUGAGAGGACGACCAGCCACACUGGGACUGAGACACGGCCCAGACUCCUACGGGAGGCAGCAGUGGGGAAUAUUGGACAAUGGGGGCAACCCUGAUCCAGCGACGCCGCGUGUGUGAAGAAGGCCUGCGGGUUGUAAAGCACUUUUAGUGGGGAUGAAAAGCCGAGGGCUAAUACCUUUCGGUCUUGACCUAACCCAAAGAAAAAGCACCGGCUAACUCUGUGCCAGCCGCCGCCGUAACAC